rnacentral:rRNA from 1 species
UACGUAGGGGGCAAGCGUUGUCCGGAAUCAUUGGGCGUAAAGAGCGUGUAGGCGGCCCGAUAAGUCCGCUGUGAAAGUCCAGGGCUCAACCCUGGAAUGCCAGUGGAAACUGUCGGGCUCGAGUCCGGAAGAGGCGAGUGGAAUUCCUGGUGUAGCGGUGAAAUGCGCAGAUAUCAGGAGGAACACCUAUGGCGAAGGCAGCUCGCUGGGACGUUACUGACGCUGAGACGCGAAAGCGUGGGGAGCAAACAGG